GGGUGACUGGAGGACCAUUCAGGUUCCUAGGGACUGGGUCUUGGGGAAGGAUUAAUGUGAAGAGCCCUUGGAAAUCAGCAUUGCCCCUGCCUGCACGGCUAUUGUUCAGAGGAUCCAGGGCUCUCCCAAAGGAAGAAACAGGGAACAUUCAGACUCGGCAGCUGAUGGGACACCACGAGGCUCCUCCUCUGGCUCUUCCUGGUUCAGCUUCACCUCAGGAACAUUUCAGGAGGGCCAUCUCCCGCUGCGCUGCGCUUUUUGAAAAGCCCUUGUAAGAAGCAACAGUCCCACUGCCUACUCUUUUCUCCCUCCUUUCCCUGUUCCUCCAGGUAGGCGCACUAAGAACGAUUUCCUUUGUGGGAAAUGAAGCAGACCCCG
rnacentral:lncRNA from 1 species